rnacentral:rRNA from 1 species
CCUACGGGAGGCAGCAGUGGGGAAUAUUGGGCAAUGGGCGCAAGCCUGACCCAGCAACGCCGCGUGAAGGAAGAAGGCUUUCGGGUUGUAAACUUCUUUUCUGAGGGAAGAAGAAAGUGACGGUACCUCAGGAAUAAGUCACGGCUAACUACGUGCCAGCAGCCGCGGCAAUCCGGAGGUGGCAAGCGUUAUCAGGAUUUAUUGGGUGUAAAGGGCGUGUAGGCGGGAAAGCAAGUCAGAUGUGAAAACUCCGGGCUCAACCCUGAACCUGCAUUUGAAACUGUUUUUCUUGAGUGCUGGAGAGGCGAUCGGAAUUCCGUGUGUAGCGGUGAAAUGCGUAGAUAUACGGAGGAACACCAGUGGCGAAGGCGGAUUGCUGGACAGUAACUGACGCUGAGGCGCGAAAGCGUGGGGAGCAAACAGGAUUAGAUACCCUAGUAGUC